GAAGGAGAUAAUCUUGGGAAGGAAAUACGGAGAAAGAAGAUUGAGAAGAUCCGACUUUCCUAGCUAAUAUAGAAUCCGAGGGGGAUAGAGAGAUAAAGCAAUGAGAGGAACUCUCCAUUGGUGCUGAGAGAGACCACGCGGAGAGAGGUAGAGGAUUUUGGAGAAAAGAGAGUAAUCCCAGCCAGAAUCAACGUCACCCGGCUGAAAAUUUCUUGCAGCCCCUCUUCCCUUUCGUUUUUGGACGAGGAUUUCCAAGUUGGAGAUGAUUGUGUAAAGGAGCGAUACAGUGAGAAAGAGAUUAAAAGAAGAGUAAGCUAUUGAUGUUAUCCAAGUA